rnacentral:rRNA from 1 species
UACGUAGGGGGCUAGCGUUGUCCGGAAUCAUUGGGCGUAAAGAGCGUGUAGGCGGCCCGGUAAGUCCGCUGUGAAAGUCGGGGGCUCAACCCUCGAAUGCCGGUGGAUACUGUCGGGCUAGAGUGCGGAAGAGGCGAGUGGAAUUCCUGGUGUAGCGGUGAAAUGCGCAGAUAGUCAGGAGGAACACCGAUUGCGAAGGCAGCUCGCUGGGACGUAACUGACGCUGAGAACGCGAAAGCGUGGGGAGCAAACAGG